GUCUCUGUAGUGUAGUUGGUUAUCACAUCUGCUUUACACGCAGAAGGUCUCAGGAUCGAACCCUGGCGGAGACA